GCUGUUGGGCUUGGACCAGGGCUCUUCCUGCUGGCUGGUUCCUGGAUAAGCAGCAGAAUAUCCCUGCCAUUCCCUGCUGC
ensembl:miRNA gga-mir-1625 gga-mir-1625